AGAGUUUGAUCCUGGCUCAGAACGAACGCUGGCGGCAGGCUUAACACAUGCAAGUCGAACGCACCGCAAGGUGAGUGGCAGACGGGUGAGUAACGCGUGGGAACGUGCCCUUCAGUUCGGGAUAACCCAGGGAAACUUGGGCUAAUACCGGAUACGUGCGAGAGCAGAAAGAUUGAUCGCUGAAGGAUCGGCCCGCGUCUGAUUAGCUAGUUGGUAGGGUAAUGGCCUACCAAGGCGACGAUCAGUAGCUGGUCUGAGAGGAUGAUCAGCCACAUUGGGACUGAGACACGGCCCAAACUCCUACGGGAGGCAGCAGUGGGGAAUAUUGGACAAUGGGCGCAAGCCUGAUCCAGCCAUGCCGCGUGAGUGAUGAAGGCCUUAGGGUUGUAAAGCUCUUUCGGCGGGGACGAUAAUGACGGUACCCGCAGAAGAAGCCCCGGCUAACUUCGUGCCAGCAGCCGCGGUAAUACGAAGGGGGCUAGCGUUGUUCGGAAUCACUGGGCGUAAAGGGCGCGUAGGCGGCCUGAUAAGUCGGGGGUGAAAGCCUGUGGCUCAACCACAGAAUUGCCUUCGAUACUGUCGGGCUUGAGACCGGAAGAGGUAAGUGGAACUGCGAGUGUAGAGGUGAAAUUCGUAGAUAUUCGCAAGAACACCAGUGGCGAAGGCGGCUUACUGGUCCGGUUCUGACGCUGAGGGCGAAAGCGUGGGGAGCAAACAGGAUUAGAUACCCUAGUAGUCC
rnacentral:rRNA from 1 species